ensembl:lncRNA
AUUCAAGCCUCUCCGGGAAACAACGCGAAGCGUCGACUUCAGAGAGUCGAUCCCAGCGAUGCCUCUCGGGAUAAGGAAGUCUGCAGGAGCCACCGAGAGCACGCAGACGUGGCGUUCGGUCAGUGUGAUGCCGUUUCCGCCCUGCGGGCCACACAUCCCGCCUACGCGCCCACCGAUGGAAAGCCUUCGGGUCCCUCUUUGUCUCUGACUGCCACUUCCUUCCUCGCUGCCCGCCUUCCUCUCCUCCGCUCCCCGGCCGGCCUGGUUGUGUCCUGAGCCCAGAGACGGCUGGCCUGCGGGUGUUGUGAGGCCCCCGCUGAGCAUCCACACAACCUCCUUUCUUCUCGUGCCUCCCUCAGAUCGUCUCUGUCUCCAUCCUCCUCUUUGUUUUGAAACCACGGUUUCAGAGACAGCGCAACAAUAGGCGGCAUCGCGUGACGAGUGCUCUGCUUUCUCUCCGAGCACUUCUCCAACAGUGUUACGCAAAGCGCACACACACACACACACACACACACACACACACACACACCGAGGAGGACCGAUACCAUCACGCUUUAAUGAUAAUGCAUCCAAUUAGCCGGGAAGUGGGAGCAGAAUGGGGAAGAAAACAUCAAUAUAAGGUCUGCCAAUUUUAUUUGUAUUUUCUCCGAUGAGGCCACAUUUGAAUACUUUUGUAGACAUGAAGAGAAAAUAAUUAGACAUUUCAACGUCCUUCAAGACAAGUCCAAAAGAAACAUUCUGUGUUCCAGAGUUGAUAUUCCCCACAGAAGCUUAGUCCUUAGUUUAAAUAACACUUAAAAGUACAGAACCCGGCUGUAUUACGAAAUAUUUUGCUCCUUAAACCAUAAAUGAACACACUAAAUAAUACCAAUACUAUUUAAUUAACGCCAUUUAACACAGAAAACCUUCCUAUUGAUCUCAUGACGUCCUCUCUGUACACGCAUGAAGUUAAUUUAAAU